rnacentral:misc_RNA from 1 species
AGCAUUGUCUCCACUCUGGUUGUGGCAACAACUAUCUCGUCCAAUCCUCCUUCAAGAUGAUAAGCGAAAGAGAUAAGCUCUCCAAAUUGAACUGGGGACUCGUAGCCAGGAACUCUCAACUGAGUCACUUCUUUGAUUUCCUUGUGGUCAACCUCAAUAUCAGAUAUCGCAGUCCGCAAUGUGCAGUCCCAAUUCACAAGGCGGUUAUCCCUGUAAAUAAGACCUUCUCUGUACAGCCUAACAAAGGCCUCGAUUACUGCUUU